UCACAGUUGCAGAUAAGUAAGUUGUUGUCUCAGAGAUAGGCAAGCAAAGAAAAUGGUGUAACUUGAAGGUGCUGAGAAAGUGACUGCAGAAAAAGAGAGCACAAAGAGUUAACGGCGAUUCCAUUAUCUGCAACAUUAAACAAAGAUAAAAAAAAGAAGAAAUUUUCACAGAAGUGGACGAAAAAAGAUUUGCCCUCACCGUUUGUCAAAGUGAGAACUGGUUUUCACGGUUUCUCUUUUCAUUCAAUUUCGGACCAAAUUACCCUGGGAAAACUUAAUAAUGGCACAAACCAAACCGUGCAACAGUUCGUAUCGGUUCAGUUGACGGCGUAAACCAAACCCUACAGCAGUUGGUUUUGGUUUAGUUGAUGCGGUUCAGUUUUGAAAAAGACAAAAAAAAAAAAAACUGAAACGAAGAAACCCGAGAAAACGAAAAAGAGAAGAGAGUAACGGAGAGAUUUGAGAGAGAAUCAGAAAGCGAAACGAAAUUCAGUAUCCAUUGCUUCAAAAUUCGACAUAACUUCGAAUUGUUGGGUAGUUGAAUUGAGCCACUGAACUCCCACAUCCGGGGAAGUGAAAGUUACUGUUUUUCCCGGCGAAGCCAAGAGAAAGUUACUUUUUAUUCCGGCGAAAUUUGAACCUCCGGCGAGAUAGCAUCUUUAGCUAUGGCUGGGAAUAAAGCUAACGACGAAGUCCCGAGGAAGCAGCAUGGUCAAAGGAAGGAGAAGCGGGUAUUAAGAGUUUCCCCGCGGAGAAAACGCUCUGCAACAAAGGCAACGGAGGAACUGGGUUAGAAUCUCUAAUUUACCGUUUGUUGUCUUUGGGUGUAUCAGAAUUGUAAAGCUUGUUUGAUUAAAGGGUUAGAACUUGUCGGAAUUUAGCAUAUCUUUAGGAUGAAAAAUUGAGAAGUAGAAUUGGAAAUCUCUGUUUCCGCCAAAAAUAUGAUUUUGAGUUAUAAUCUGGAAAAUGUCUGUGUACGUACACUACUUCGGUUUGCUUAACAGUAUAUGACUUUUAGUUGCAGGUAGUCCAAGUGUUGCUCCGACUGAAGAUCUUACAGUUGAAGAGUUACCACCAAGACUCUUUGCUCUACACCGGUACCCUUCCGAGACGAAGAUGAACGCGUACUCUAAACCGGAGUACAUUUCUGACAUAGAAAAUGUACUAAAGGGGAAACCAGAGAUGCAGUUUCUUCUCGAUUCUCCAUUUGGGGAACUUUUUAAAAUACCCCAAAACAAGGCAUCUUUCAAUGCUAAGCUUGUCCUUGGACUAAUAUGCCGUCAGUUAGUGACAAAGAAGGUGAAUGAGAUGUGGAUUGUAUUCGGCGGUCAUCCAAUUAGAUUUGGAUUAAGAGAAUUUAGUAUCCUAACUGGGCUGGAAUGUGGGAAGUAUCCCAAGAAGAAAGACGUUGAUGAUGUUAUCAAUGUGAAACCUGAGUGUGAGAGUGUUUGGAAUACUCUGUUUGAUGAGAGGUUUGGGGACACGGUUCCAACAAUUGCUGAUUUGGUGAGCUGGCUGCAGGAGGAGGAAAGCAUGGAGGGGUGGAAGCAACUGGCACUAUCUCUUAUUAUUUUGGUUGACGGUGUGGUAGCGGCCCACAGUAACCCCAACAGGCCUACUUCGAAGACUGUCGAGAUGACUAAGAACCUGAAGUUCUUCUGCAAAUACCCAUGGGGAAGGGUGUCCUUUACCCGUACUUUGGGGAGGAUAGCAAAUUUCCAAACUCCUUACGAUGCUCAACAACUAAUAAGGGAUUUACUUGUAGGGUCUUAUGCACUCCAUGGCUUCCCAUUAGCUCUCCAGCUUUUAGCUUUCGAAACAAUCCCAUCAAUUGCUAAGCUAGGACCUGAUGAUGUACUUAACAGGACAUUUGCUGAGAGGUCUAUCCAUCGUCUUGCCUCUCUGCGAGCAAUCCGGACAUCUCGCAUUUUGGAGUGUGAGGCUGCUGAUGAGGUGUGUUAAAUUGUGUAUGUACGUACAUAAUAAGUAAAUGUACAUUAUCUAUGGUUAACAUACUUAUUUGUGUAGGUUGAGGUCAACUAUAUUGUGAAACCAGCUGAUAAUGUUUGUCCUCCAUCUCUUUCAUGGGAUGAUGAAGUUGAUGAUCCAAGGGUUGAUUACAUUGAGGCACUGUUGAUAGAUGGGCACCAGUGGCAGGAGGAUGAAUGGGUUGGAGGCUAUGCUAGAGUACCAAAGCAGGUGCGCCCACCACAACUAGAAGAGACAGGUAAGUAUAAGUAUAAAGGUUGUUUACAAAUUUUUUUGGUAUUGCAUCCAGAAGAAACCCAAUUAAUAGCAGCAACUGGUCUAUUGUAGAUGUUAAGAGAAAACGAAAUGCACCGGGCCCGAGCCCUAAAGAACCUGAUAAUAAGUUUUUAGUCAAUUAUUCCUAAAACACCAAUCAUGUCGUUGUAGUAAUUUAGCUGUCAAUCCAAAUGGGUGUGAUGCAAACAGAUGAGAUGUGAUCAGAAGUCACUAAGUCAAGCCAAGCAAUAACAGUUUUGGGGUUUCUAACAGUCCUAAGCGAACAUGCAGAAAACAGAAGCAAUAACAGAAUUACUAAAAUCACUCGACCACAACAGGCUGAUGCCAGAAGUAGGAUGUGGUCGAGUAACAGGUCAAGUAAUAGACAGGAUAUGAAACAGCUAUACUCGACUGCACAGUCUGUUGCCAGACACUGGGUGUGGUCGAGUAAGUUGGUCGAGUGAUUGUAAAAACUAAGAAACAAGCAAUGAGAACGAUUAAGCGAUAACGAUAAAACAGAGAAAUAAGAUAGACGAGAAAUUCCUAAGGAUGGGGUAAUCGAGUAGAGUGGUGUCCUAGCCUAUUCGAAUGGUUAACAAGCGCAAUCAAGCUAUCCCUAGACAACAGGUUCAACAACAGACCAAUUCACUCCCGUGAUAGAAAUCCUCAAGCAAAGCUAGCCCAGACUAAUUCCCAUUAACGGAAUCUAACUAUGCAGGCAAUACGAACAGACUGAUAAAGUCAAUAAACGCUCUAAACGGCCAAUCCCUUGGGAUAGAGACGCAUAUCUCAGGAACUAGUGGAUCAAGCAUUCCAUCGAACACCUUCUGGGUGCGGGAAUGCUUGGGAUCGAAUUCCAGUUGAUCAGAAAGAAAUAAGCAGUAAACGCAACUAGUCCUAAAGGGAUUCAAUCAAUUCUGAAACUUAACCAUUCUACAGACUACGGAUUCCACAACUACUCUAUCCCAUCCCUAAGAAUUCUAAGUCACUACUCAGACAACAUGCUCAAAGACAUAAACGCAGAUAAACGAUAAUAUUGCAUAAGUAAAGAGAUAAAGAGUAGAGAAACAAGAUGACUAAUGAAAUCAAACGCGGAAUCUCAAUAACUUGGAAAAAUCGCGAACUACAGGUUGCAGAAGCAAAAGCGGCGCAGCAGAGUAAAACUGAAAAUAAAACUGAAGCAAAAACGCAAUGUCGACUAGAUGUCUCAGGACAGAACCCUAAAACAUCUAUUUAUACCAAACGAAAUAAAAUGAUAGUAGACGGGCCAAUAACCUAAUCGCCCGGCCCAUAGAGUGAUAAUGGGCCGAGAUGGGCUUCGUGAUCCGAUGGAGGUCCAGGCCGCUUCCAAACACUUUGUCUUCUCCUCUUCUCUUCCUUGUGCUCAGCUUAUCUGGUUGAGUGCGGAUUUGAGUAGACUGUGAAGAAGUGAUCGAGUGUCCGGUCGAGUGAUGGUGAUGGUGGUGAGUGAUGAUACUCGACCAUGGGGUCGAGUAACGUGGUAGAGUGAAUGGUCGAGUGUAGUCAGGUGGUGUGGCGAAGUGAGACUCGACCAGGGGGUCGAGUAAUGUCAUCGAGUGGCCUGAGCUGACGUUACUCGACCUGGUGGUCGAGUGGAUGGGAAGAAUGGCUCCAAAGUCACUCGUCCUGGGGGUCGAGUAUGUCUUCUCGUUCUGGCUCGUUUCUUCCAAUUUGCUCGCAAACAGCUCCAAAUCACCUGAAAACAACUCAGAAAUGCAAUAUGCAUGCAAAGCUAUCCUAAUCAUGCAAAGUAUGCAAGAAUGAUGAGAAAUGAUAUAAAACAGUGAUGAAUGAUACGAAACUGGACUCAAAACGAUGAUGAAUGGACACUGAAAACAUGCAAAUUAUAGACAUAUCAACUCCCCCAAACUUAGUCUUUGCUUGCCCUCAAGCAAAUAGGAAGACAUAGUUGAAGGAGAGGAGUAAAGGCGGGGACUCAGAACCAAAGCAUAUGAUAGAGCAAAUAAAAUCAAUGUCCAAGUUGGUAGUUCUAAGAUGCGAUAUGAUUGAAUUCUACUCAAAAAACGUUAGUCAUGCCUUGUUAUCAAUAAAUCCGUCUCUUAUACUCGACCUACACAUGUUUUCAAAUCUACCAAUCCCUUUAACAUUCAUUAGUUCUGGAACGUGAAUCAAGCAAUGCAUCAUCAAUGAACUCAUUUGGCUAAGGUGAAGGUCAAGAGACAAAGAUGGUCCCCUACAGAAUAGGCUUAAGUAACAGGGGAUCCCUCAAGAAUGAUUGAGCUUUAGUAGAAUGCUAAAGGUAAGUCCCAAGUUAUGCAUACAGAGAUAAGAUCCCAUCUACCCAGAGUAUAACAAUGAAGCUCUAAUGGUAAUCCCAACUCCUGUCCCAACUUAACUCUACCCUUUGCACUCAUGAAUCUUUCAAACUCUUUUUUCCAUAUCAUUCUUUUCUUUUCUCUUAACUCUAGGAGAAGCUUUCUCAACGCUCUUGAUACAUCUAGCGGGUUUGGACUUCUUUAACAACUAAGGUUCCUGUUUUUUUUUU
rnacentral:sRNA from 1 species